AUCUUUUUGUAGUCUCUAAGUAUGAUGAUUAGGUGUUCAUACUCAUGUGUGAGAUGAGCCACCCUCAAACCUUGUUAUGACUUCGGCACAUUACCCGUCUGACA
ensembl:snoRNA